CCUACGGGAGGCAGCAGUGGGGAAUCUUGGGCAAUGGGCGCAAGCCUGACCCAGCAACGCCGCGUGAAGGAAGAAGGCUUUCGGGUUGUAAACUUCUUUUCUGAGGGACGAAGAAAGUGACGGUACCUCAGGACUAAGCCACGGCUAACUACGUGCCAGCAGCCGCGGUAAGACGUUGGUGGCAAGCGUUAUCCGGAUUUAUUGGGUGUAAAGGGCGUGUAGGCGGGAAAGCAAGUCAGAUGUGAAAACUCAGGGCUCAACCCUGAGCCUGCAUUUGAAACGGUUUUUGUUGAGUGCAGGAGGGGCAAGCGGAAGUCCGUGUGUAGCGGUGAAAUGCGUAGAUAUACGGAGGAACACCAGUGGCGAAGGCGGAUUGCUGGACAGUAACUGACGCUGAGGCGCGAAAGCGUGGGGAGCAAACAGGAUUAGAUACCCGGGUAGUC
rnacentral:rRNA from 1 species